GAUGAACGCUGGCGGCGUGCCUAAUACAUGCAAGUCGAGCGAACGGACGAGAAGCUUGCUUCUCUGAUGUUAGCGGCGGACGGGUGAGUAACACGUGGAUAACCUACCUAUAAGACUGGGAUAACUUCGGGAAACCGGAGCUAAUACCGGAUAAUAUUUUGAACCGCAUGGUUCAAAAGUGAAAGACGGUCUUGCUGUUACUUAUAGAUGGAUCCGCGCUGCAUUAGCUAGUUGGUAAGGUAACGGCUUACCAAGGCAACGAUGCAUAGCCGACCUGAGAGGGUGAUCGGCCACACUGGAACUGAGACACGGUCCAGACUCCUACGGGAGGCAGCAGUAGGGAAUCUUCCGCAAUGGGCGAAAGCCUGACGGAGCAACGCCGCGUGAGUGAUGAAGGUCUUCGGAUCGUAAAACUCUGUUAUUAGGGAAGAACAUAUGUGUAAGUAACUGUGCACAUCUUGACGGUACCUAAUCAGAAAGCCACGGCUAACUAC
rnacentral:rRNA from 1 species